rnacentral:lncRNA from 1 species
UUUCCAGCUUCUAGGGCUACCUUCUUCCCUUCAUCUCCACUCCCGCACACACGCCGGCCACCACUAGGGUUUUGCCGAUCCGCCUUACCCCACGCCGGCCACCACUAGGGUUUUGCCGAUCCGCCUCACCCCACGCCGGCCACCACCAGAUCGCCUCCGCCCUACGCUCUCACCGCUGCCGACGAUGGUGGGAUACGGGAUUCAGUCGAUGCUCAAGGAUGGGCACAAGCAUCUCUCGGGCCUC